GCUGUUGCUGCCACCUGGCUUCACUCCACAACUCCAGGGCUGGGAAAUAUCAGAAGUGAUUUCUCCAGGGACCCAUUCCGGAGCUCAAAUUAGCGAUGAACCAUAAACUGACCAAACAUAGGAUUUUGGACUGAAUUUAUGAUGGAUUGUCCCAAGUUUAAUUUCUAGUUCUGUUUUGUUGCUACAAACUUUCAACCCUAGAUUUUCCCCCAGGAUGUACCGUGACCCUAGUUACUACAGAAAUGUUCAUGGAUCAGAGACCCUGCAGUCAACCUUCUUGUUCUGACCAAUCAUUAACCAGGAGGAACAUUGUGGAGCUGCCGCUGCUUUUUCCUGAGUUACUUUAACAGACUGACCACAGGCAUGUUCCUUCGUCCUUAGAAGAGUUCCAGAAGAUUAGUCAGCUAAACCUGACAAGGCUUCUGGGAAGCUGGAAAGGACUUGGCUCAGCAUAUUAGGAACUAAGGUGGGAAAUAGUUCUGAGUGCUGCAAUAUCUGUGCCGUAUGUUCCUCAUUCUUACUGUUUAUUUUUCCAUUAGCCCAAACAUAGCAAUAAACACUUCAUCCAUAUCUACUUCACUGAAAGUUUU
rnacentral:lncRNA from 1 species